rnacentral:lncRNA from 1 species
GGAAAUUGUUCCCCAUCCUUGAAGAAAUCAGUGGGAGAUGGUGGAUUGGCACUUGAACCCCCUUGGUUAGGGUUUGAACGAGAAGAACUUGAAGGGUUUUGGCUUGGAUUCACCAUUGUUAAGUUUGUGAAAGCUAAAGAGAGGUUUUUCUGAGAGAAGGAAGAAAGCUCAAAGAGUUCGAAUUUCAAAUCAUAGGUAAAACCGUCAAUUUUGGUGAGGUUUACCUUUUAUACUGACGGUUACACGCGGAGCGAGGCCGGCGCAUUUAAUGUCAGUAAUAAUGGGAAUUAAAGUGGAAUACGUUUGGAUGACCUUUGAAUAUCUUAUCAGAUUGGGCCUGACUGUUGGAUCUCUAUCUUAUUGGCUCAUGCCGUUCAAAUUCAGAUUCUUUAUCAAAUUGGGCUUAUUGCUCUGGGUAUCCACUAUCCAGUCCUCCCUUAUUCCACUUCGUAUGAUAAAAGGGGGUAUGAUCCACUUAUUUCCUAUUUUUGAGCCUUUAUUAAAUUCUAAAUAUCAUGAAUCUUAUAUAGUUUUCCAUUAAACAUUUUGUUUAACUAAAAAACUAGGGGGUAAUGUUGGGUCAUAAUAUUUCUCCUAUCUUGGGCCGGAUAGAUUGGGCCCAUUUAUCAGUAUAAUCUAUUGGGCUUUUAUUAUUAAGCCAUGGGACUCUUUGAGCCCAUUUAUUGUGUCAACUUUAUUUAAUUCUAUUGGACCGGGUCAGACCAGUGGAUCGACCCAUUAGAUAUUUUAAUAUCUGUUACUUUGACUUGUGAUGAUGAAAAAGCAUGACAGUUGACCAAUCCUCCUGCCAUGCAUUAAUGUGGAUGGGAUCAUAACCGGCCGGCGGGAGAAAACAGUGGCCAAAAGCAGUAGAUAAACCUGAUAUAGUCGGCAGGGUCCAUCAGAUCAGAGGGGGUGUCAGGUAGUAGUGGGUGGCACAAUAAUCCAAGCAAAAGUAGUAUAACUUAGCAAGGAAGCCAUCGUAUAGAGGUACGUUCUCUCAUAUAUUGAUUAUUCAUAUCCUCCCAUACACACGACUGAGAUUUUAAUUCUCUCAAUACACUAGACCAUAUAUUCCUCCAUUGUUAACCUUGUGAACACGUACUAAUUCUCACGCCUGAGCUAUCCCCCGACGGAACCGCCGUCAAGCUUUCGGUGUUGACUGUGUUUACUGUGCAGGAUCAGGACGUCUUACGUGAUUGGGACGUGGAGAAGGAUCUUGG